AUACCUUUCUCGGCCUUUUGGCUAAGAUCAAGUGUAGUAUUUGUUCUUAUCAGUUUAAUAUUUGAUAUGUGGGCCAAUAGUUCACACGAUAUUAACUCUAUUUUUUUGGGGGAAGGUCUUUUACGGUAGCUUGCUACUUGGGCUUUCAUGCGUCGCCUUGGUGUUGCACUACUGCCUUGGUCCGGCGACCCCCAC
rnacentral:snRNA from 1 species